rnacentral:tRNA from 1 species
UGGGGGGUGGUGUAACGGCAGCACGACGGCCUUUGGAGCCGCAGGUCGGGGUUCGAAUCCCUGCCCCCCAG